CGUAAUAAAAGUGCCUGAAAUUUGAGCCAUGUUUGAUUGUAUGCAAUAUUAAAAAGCCAUUAACUUUAUUUUUAGUGAUUCAAGAGACUCUAGUAUUCACCAUGACCUCUUUGAAGGAACAUGAAGUCAUCCAUGUGGAUGGGGGCCGAUGUGACCCACCUUAAGGUUAAUUCUUGCUUCUGUGCACUGGACUGAGGCAUCAGACAAAAGACGCCAGUGCAUCUGGUUUAGCUGAUAUCCCAAUGGACUUCAUUGCCAUUACAAAAAUGGAGAGCUCAGAUCCGUGGUUUCGGAGGGCAGUCUGUCGAGUGGAAAUUAGAGGUUUCCAGUGGAGAUCUAACAGUCAGGCUGAUCAGAGGAAGUGAGGUUUUUGAAGAUUUGAUACUGAAAUUGAAGCUUGAACACUGCUGAAACUGCAUCUAUGAACUCAACCGAUGUACCAGUGAACCCCAAUGUUUGGAGAGAAAAAUAACUUUUUUUUAAUCUUUUAGGACACGUUUCCCUAAGAAUGUGUAAAAGUAAUUGACUUCCAUUAAACUUGCAUAUUU